rnacentral:rRNA from 1 species
AGGUCAGGACACGGUAAGGAUUGACGGACUGAAGGCUCUUUCUCGAUUCCGUGGAAAGUGGUGCAUGGCCGUUUUGGUUGGUGGAUCGAUCCGUCUGGUUAAUUCCGUUAACGAACGAGACCUCGGCACUCCGAAUAGCGCGGCGGACGUCGCGGCCUCCGGGCCGUCUUCCGCACGAGCUUCUUAGAGGGACCGUCCCCCGCCGGGGAAGGAGGUGCGAGGCAACGACAGGUCUGUGAUGCCCUUAGAUGUUCUGGGCCGCACGCGCAUUACACUGACGCGUCCAACGGGUGACUCCCGACCCGAAGGGGCCGGGGAAUCCGCAAGGCGCGUCGUGAUGGGGAUUGAACGUUGCAAUUGCUGUUCACGAACGAGGAAUUCCUAGUAGGCGCGGGUCAUCAACCCGCGCCGAUUACGUCCCUGCCCUUUGUACACACC